UAUUGUGUGUUAAUGGAGGUGUAUUGUGUGUUAAUGCAGGUGUGUUAGUGUGUUAAUGCGGGUGUGUUAUGUGUGUUAAUGGAGGUGUAUUGUGUGUUAAUGCAGGUGUGUUGUUGUGUGUUAAUGCGGGUGUGUUAGUGUGUGUUAAUGCGGGUGUGUUAGUGUGUUAAUGCGGGUGUGUUAGUGUGUGUUAAUACGGUUGUGUUAGUGUGUGUUAAUGCAGGUGUGUUAUUGUGUGUUAAUGCAGGUGUAUUAGUCUGUGUUAAUGCAGGUGUGUUAGUGUGUGUGUUAAUGCAGGUGUAUUAGUCUGUGUUAAUGCAGGUGUGUUAGUGUGUGUUAAUGCAGGUGUGUUAGUGUGUGUUAACGCAGGUGUAUUAGUCUGUGUUAAUGCAGGUGUAUUAAUGUGUGUUAAUGCAGGUGUGUUAGUGUGUGUUAAUGCAGGUGUAUUAGUGUGUGUUAAUGCAGUGUAUUAGUCUGUGUUAAUGCAGGUGUGUUAGUGUGUGUUAAUGCAGGUGUAUUAUUGUGUGUUAAUGCAGGUGUAUUAGUGUGUGUUAAUGCAGGUGUAUUAGUGUGUGUUAAUGCGGGUGUGUUAGUGUGUGUUAACGCAGGUGUGUUAUUGUGUGUUAAUGCAGGUGUGUUAGUGUGUGUGUUAAUGCAGGUGUAUCAUUGUGUGUUAAUGCAGGUGUGUUAGUGUGUGUUAAUGCAGGUGUAUUAUUGUGUGUUAAUGCAGGUGUGUUAUUGUGUGUUGAUGCAGGUGUAUUAUUGUGUGUUAAUGCAGGUGUGUUAGUGUGUGUUAAUGCAGGUGUGUUAGUGUGUGUUAAUGCAGGUGUAUUAUUGUGUGUUAAUGCAGGUGUAUUAUUGUGUGUUAAUGCAGGUGUAUUAUUGUGUGUUAAUGCAGGUGUGUUAAUGCGGGGUGUGUUAGUGUGUGUUAAUGCAGGUGUAUUAUUGUGUGUUAAUGCAGGUGUAUUAGUGUGUGUUAAUGCAGGUGUAUUAUUGUGUGUUAAUGCAGGUGUGUUAGUGUGUGUGUUAAUGCAGGUGUAUUAUUGUGUGUUAAUGCAGGUGUGUUAGUGUGUGUUAAUGCAGGUGUAUUAUUGUGUGUUAAUGCAGGUGUAUUAUUGUGUGUUAAUGCAGGUGUAUUAUUGUGUGUUAAUGCAGGUGUAUUAG
ensembl:lncRNA